rnacentral:rRNA from 1 species
CCUACGGGUGGCAGCAGUGGGGAAUAUUGCACAAUGGGGGACACUCUGAUGCAGCGACGCCGCGUGAGUGAAGAAGGAUUUCGGUAUGUAAAGCUCUAUCAGCAGGGAAGAAAAUGACGGUACCUGCUUAAGAAGCCCCGGCUAACUACGUGCCAGCAGCCGCGGUAAUACGUAGGGGGCAAGCGUUAUCAGGAUUUACUGGGUGGAAAGGGAGCGUAGACGGCAGCGCAAGUCGGGAGUGAAAUGCCGGGGCUUAACCCCGGAACUGCCGUGGAAACUGUGCAGCUAGAGUGCAGGAGAGGUAAGUGGAAUUCCUAGUGUAGCGGUGAAAUGCGUAGAUAUUAGGAGGAACACCAGUGGCGAAGGCGGCUUACUGGACUGUAACUGACGUUGAGGCUCGAAAGCGUGGGGAGCAAACAGGAGUAGAUACCCGGGUAGUC